CCUUUGCGAAGAACUGCCAUCCCUCCGAAGGUGGCUCGAGAUCCUAAGCAUCCAUUAUUAUUUUCACUGCUUUGGACAUGCACAUAUAUAGAUUCUUGAUCCUGUCGAUGCAGUUUUAAUCUGAUGACAAUUUUAUAGGUUGAUUUCUAGAAGUGGAUCACUGGUUUAAUGAAUGACAUGGGAAGGAAGAUAGAAAGGUUGGCCGAUAUGAUCGAGAAUAUGGAGGCAUCGAUGAUCUCACAGCCGGAAGUCAGGAAGGUUGGGUAGAACUGAAGCCACCUUCACAUAAUAUAGUGC
rnacentral:lncRNA from 1 species